UACGUAGGUGGCAAGCGUUGUCCGGAUUUACUGGGUGUAAAGGGUGCGCAGGCGGGACUGCAAGUUGGAUGUGAAACUCCGAGGCUCAACCUCGGAACUGCAUCCAAAACUGUGGUUCUUGAGUGGAGUAGAGGUAAGCGGAAUUCCGAGUGUAGCGGUGAAAUGCGUAGAUAUUCGGAGGAACACCAGUGGCGAAGGCGGCUUACUGGGCUCUAACUGACGCUGAGGCACGAAAGUGUGGGUAGCAAACAGG
rnacentral:misc_RNA from 1 species